UAUGGAUAUGGUUCAUAUGUUUCUUCACCUAAAGUUGAGAGGAUCUUUUUUAUGAUUAUAUCCAUCUGAGCUUUUGGCUUUACCAAGUUUAUUUUGUCAAAAAGACGUUCCUAAAUCCUGACUAGACCUUGAAUGAAUCAGCGUCAAAUAGAUAUUUUCUGUGUCAUUCUGAUUAAGAAAUGAACAGUUUUUAAGGCUAUAGUCUUUG
rnacentral:misc_RNA from 1 species